UUUGUAUUUUGAGUAGAGAUGGGGUUUCUCCAUGUUGGUCAGGCUGGUCUCGAACUCCAGAACUCAGAUGAUCCUCCCCCUUGGCCUCCCAAAGUGCUGGGAUUGCAGGUGUCAGCCACCAUGCCCGGCCUCCUCUGUCACUUUUAUAGCCAUCCUCUGCUCAGAGGAAAGAGCUGACACCUCUCUGCCCAGUCUCGAGGCCCCAGUCCACACUGUCUACAACUAUCUACAGCCAUCUUCAUACCUAAUGCCAAAAGAGGCUCCCCACAUUAGUUAACCCUUGGAGUGAUUCACUCUAAAUUUGGCCGUAGCACACUAGAGACAAAGAAACACAAACACAACCCAGAAAUAAGUUUCAGGCCCAUCCCUCCCCUUCCCACCCAAGUCACCACCAUUGCAGGAAACUUCUUCUCCCUUGCCCUACCCCUCUCACCAGUUCCACACACCAGCCCACAGUCCAGGCCCGCUGGAGACUAUCAGCAUCCUGUUUCCUUGGCUCCACCAGCUCCCGGAAUGCUACUACCACCGUCAAACCCCGGUUAUACUUGCCUCCAAUGGCAUUGUACUCCAGGACCUCCUUGAGCCGGGCAAUAGCAUCUCCUAUCUCUGGGUGCCCCAUCUCAUCCUCAGUCAGCACCCUAACGAUCUGGGAGAAGUGCUGAACGAAAUCCUGCUUUUCUUGGGCAUAAACAUCUGAAUUCUG
rnacentral:lncRNA from 1 species